rnacentral:misc_RNA from 1 species
GUUUUGCUUUGCUUCUUACUUAAUAUUUAGCAAUAAUUUUCAUCUUUUCAUCAGAACACCAACAGUGACUCUGCAAUAAUCUACCCAUCAAUUUCUGCUCCUUCCAAUUCUCCUUCGUACAAUAGACAUCAAAAUGGUGCCUUAAAUUUCAAUUCCACUAAAAUGGAGAUGGGGAAUUUAUUAAAAAAGUACAGCAGAUGGAUGAUGGAUCCAUUUUUGGCUACGCUCGUGUUGCUUUUUAUCAUGUAUAUGCACGCUAAGAAACAGCCAAAUCUGCCGUCACACUAAAGAAGACUCAUGGGUGGUGUUAGCUUUAUUAUUAUAUAAAAAUUGGCAAGGUGGUGAAUAGUGAUGUCCCAUAUGCGGAACAUAGGGAGCUAGGGAAGGUGGUUUCCCGUCCUUUCCAUGGUUAUCCGCUUUAUUUUCUACCUAUAAGUGUUUGUCUCAGUCUGUGGAGCAUCCAAGCUUGUAGUCAAGCUCAUGCAUUAAUGUGAUUUGGUGGAUUUUCUAUCCAUCAAUCUUUUUGCU